GCCGCUUUAGCUCAGUCGGUAGAGCGUUUCACUCGUAAUGAAAAGGUCGCGAGUUCGAUUCUCGCAAGCGGCUCCA
rnacentral:tRNA from 2 species